UCCGGUUUGUCACCGGCAGUCUCAUUAGAGUGCCCUUUCGUAGCAACUAAUGACAAGGGUUGCGCUCGUUGCGGGACUUAACCCAACAUCUCACGACACGAGCUGACGACAGCCAUGCAGCACCUGUGUUCAGGCUCCCUUUCGGGCACAUCCACCUCUCAGCGGACUUCCUGACAUGUCAAGGGUAGGUAAGGUUUUUCGCGUUGCAUCGAAUUAAUCCACAUCAUCCACCGCUUGUGCGGGUCCCCGUCAAUUCCUUUGAGUUUUAAUCUUGCGACCGUACUCCCCAGGCGGCGAACUUCACGCGUUAGCUGCGGUACUAAGGAAGUCUCCUUCCCCAACACCUAGUUCGCAUCGUUUAGGGCGUGGACUAC
rnacentral:misc_RNA from 1 species